CCAUAAAUGAUUGCAUUGAUCUGGUUUGUUAGUCCUGUACUUCUGUCAUUUAAGGGCUAAGGUUAUGGUUGGAAUAGUAGCCUGUUGCUGACUCUUGAGCCAGUAGUUCUUAAUGGAAAUUAACAAACAAGUGCGAAAAUGAUUGCAAAUUUUUUUUAAAUAAUUUUUUUCUCUUUCUUGCUUGGUUUAUUUUUAAUAUUAUCGAAAAGGUCAUGUAGUCUUUUGACUUUAAAAGUCUAAUUGUGAUGGUGUCUUUUAAUACUAUAGUACCCAAAUUUGAAUUUCAGGUCCCUCUUGUUAAUAAAUUUACCCUGUAUCUUUUAGUAAUAGGGUGUUUCUUUGUGUAAUAGGGUGUAAGGAAAUGAAGCAUUGUUUGAUUAUUUCUUAUUUAGAUCUGAACAAGUUUUUGGUGGAGUUUUGAUGGCUUAUUGUGAAUUCUGUGUGUUUGUGACUGGGAUGCUCAUGAAAAUAAGUUUAUUGAAGUUGAAGGAAUUCUGAGAAGACAGAUAAAGAUGUCUCUUAUUCCUAGUGUGCAGCCUUUCCAUGCAAUAGCCUAUCCAAUUGAUCCAAUGCUU